rnacentral:rRNA from 1 species
GGUUAAGCGACUAAGCGUACACGGUGGAUGCCCUGGCAGUCAGAGGCGAUGAAGGGCGUGCUAAUCUGCGAUAAGCGCCGGUAAGGUGAUAUGAACCGUUAUAACCGGCGAUACCCGAAUGGGGAAACCCAGUGUGAUUCGUCACACUAUCAUUAACUGAAUCCAUAGGUUAAUGAGGCGAACCGGGGGAACUGAAACAUCUAAGUACCCCGAGGAAAAGAAAUCAACCGAGAUUCCCCCAGUAGCGGCGAGCGAACGGGGAGGAGCCCAGAGCCUGAAUCAGCAUGUGUGUUAGUGGAAGCGUCUGGAAAGGCGCGCGAUACAGGGUGACAGCCCCGUACACAAAAGCGCAUGUGCUGUGAGCUCGAUGAGUAGGGCGGGACACGUGGUAUCCUGUCUGAAUAUGGGGGGACCAUCCUCCAAGGCUAAAUACUCCUGACUGACCGAUAGUGAACCAGUACCGUGAGGGAAAGGCGAAAAGAACCCCGGCGAGGGGAGUGA